rnacentral:rRNA from 1 species
GGUGAGUAACACGUGGAUAACCUACCUAUAAGACUGGGAUAACUUCGGGAAACCGGAGCUAAUACCGGAUAAUAUUUUAAACCGCAUGGUUCAAAAGUGAAAGACGGUCUUGCUGUCACUUAUAGAUGGAUCCGCGCUGCAUUAGCUAGUUGGUAAGGUAACGGCUUACAAGGCAACGAUGCAUAGCCGACCUGAGAGGGUGAUCGGCCACACUGGAACUGAGACACAGUCCAG